AUUGAACGCUGGCGGCAUGCCUUACACAUGCAAGUCGAACGGCAGCACGGGAGCAAUCCUGGUGGCGAGUGGCGAACGGGUGAGUAAAGUAUCGGAACGUGCCCAGUCGUGGGGGAUAACGUAGCGAAAGUUACGCUAAUACCGCAUACGAUCUAUGGAUGAAAGCGGGGGAUCGCAAGACCUCGCGCGAUUGGAGCGGCCGAUAUCAGAGUAGGUAGUUGGUGGGGUAAAGGCUCACCAAGCCGACGAGCUGUAGCUGGUCUGAGAGGACGACCAGCCACACUGGGACUGCGACACGGCCCAGACUCCUACGGGAGUAAGCAGUGGGGAAUGUUGGACAAGGGGCGAAAGCCUGAUCCAGCCAUGCCGCGUUCAGGAUGAAGGCCUUCGGGUUGUAAACUGCUUUUGUACGGAACGAAAAGGUUUGGCCUAAUAAGCUGAGCUCAUGACGGUACCGUAAGAAUAAGCACCGGCUAACUACGUGCCAGCCGCCGCCGUAA
rnacentral:rRNA from 1 species